AGUUUUUAACACAUUAAAGAAAACUUCUUCAUUACUCAUCAUAUUAAACAAGUUACUUCAUCUAAGAUUACAAAGUUUCAUUGUCCCUUUUAUAAAUUUUAUAAAUAACUAACAUAAUUUUAAAAUGAGCUCAUAAUUGAUUUUUUAUAUUUUUUCUUCCUUUCUACACUAGGAGUUUUUAACACAUUAAAGCAAAUUUCUUCAUUACUUAUCAUAUUAAACAGGUUACUUAAUCUAAGAUUACAAAGUUUCAUUGUACCUUUUAUAAAUUUUAUGAAUAACUAACAUAAUUUAAAAUGAGUUCAUAAUUGAAUUUUUAUAUUUUUUUAUAAAUAAAGAAUACUUUGAAAAAAGUAUGCCACUGUGCACCUGCACGCUCGUGGUGUUGGUUGGCGGGCUUUCCAUUUGACCCGUAUUGAAACACGGACCAAGGAGUCUAACAUGUGUGCGAGUCGGUGGGUUUGUAAACCUACGAGGCACAAGGAAGCUAAUGGGCGAGAACCCCUCUCUAUGGAGUGCAUUGCCGACCGACCUUGAGCUUGUGCGAAGGGUUCGAGUGCGAGCACACCUGUUGGGACCCGAAAGAUGGUGAACUAUGCUUGAGCAGAGUGAAGCCAGAGGAAACUUUGGUGGAGGCCCAUAGCGAUGCUGACGUGCAAAUCAUUCGUCUGACUUGGGUAUAGGGGCGAAAGACUAAUCAAACCAUCUAGUAGCUGGUUUCCUACGAAGUUUCCCUCGGGAUAGAUGGAGCUCACAUGCGAGUUUUAUCGGGUAAAUAAAAUGAUUAGAGGCAUCGGGGGCGUAACUCCCUCAAACUAUUCUCAAAAUUUAAAUAGGUAAGACGGUGUGGCUGCUCCAUUGAGCCGCACCACAGAAUCGAGAGCUCCAAGUGGGCCAUUUUUGGUAAGCAGAACUGGCGAUGUGAGAUGAAACAAAAGUCGAGUUACGGUGCCAAAAUGUGCACUAACCCGGAUCCCACAAAGGGUGUUGGUUGAUUAAGACAGUAGGAUGGUAGUCAUGGAAGUCGAAAUCCACUAAGGAGUGUGUAAGAACUCACCUGCUGAAUCAACUAGCCCCGAAAAUGGAAAGUGCUGAAGCGCGUGACCUAUACUUGACCGUUGGAGCAAUUGCCAGGCUUCGAUGAGUAGGAGGACGUG
rnacentral:ncRNA from 1 species